rnacentral:rRNA from 1 species
UACGUAGGGGGCAAGCGUUGUUCGGAUUUACUGGGCGUAAAGGGCGCGUAGGCGGCGCGCAAAGUCGGACAUGAGAUCAUUAGGCUUAACCUGAUGGCUGUGCCCGAUACUUACGUGCUUGGAGUGCGGGAGAGGCAAUCGGAAUUCUCGGUGUAGCGGUGAAAUGCGUAGAUAUCGAGAGGAACUCCGGUGACGAAGGUGGGUUGCUGGACCGACACUGACGCUGAGGCGCGAAAGCUAGGGGAGCAAACGGG